rnacentral:rRNA from 1 species
UACAGAGGUCUCAAGCGUUGUUCGGAUUCAUUGGGCGUAAAGGGUGCGUAGGCGGUCUGUUGCGUCGGCUGUGAAAACCCGGGGCUCAACCCCGGGCCUGCAGCCGAUACGGGCAGACUAGAGUUCGGCAGGGGAGACUGGAAUUCCUGGUGUAGCGGUGAAAUGCGCAGAUAUCAGGAGGAACACCGGUGGCGAAGGCGGGUCUCUGGGCCGAUACUGACGCUGAGGAGCGAAAGCGUGGGGAGCGAACAGG